UUUUCCUUUUAAUCAACGCGUCAGUGAUCAUCAUCAUCCGAGGCCACCGCUUUUGCCUCUGGGGUUCCGUCUACUUGGAUGCUCAUGGAGAAGAGGACCGGGACCUCAGGCGAGGCAAGCCUCUCUACAUCUGUGAGGAGCGGUACAGAGUUCUCGAGCAGCAGUGGGUUUCCCACACGUUUGACCACAUCAAUAAAAGAUGGGGUCCGCACUACAAUGGGCUGUGACACACACCUCAGCAUUGCAUAUAUUAUCAUUUUCACUGAGAUUGAUUUUCAUCAACAAUAAGCUUUAAUUUAAUUUGGGGGGAUUGAUGUCUUUGCUGAGGGAUAAAAAGAAAACAUACAUUAUGCAGCCUUCCCAAAAUUAGGUGCUUGGUAACCACAGUAAUGGUAUAAUAUUUUUUCUCAAGUAUCCGGACAACAAAUAAUUUAAAUCAUUCUUUAGUGGUCACUUUUUAAGUGCACAAUAAUAAAAGCACAACUGUCCACAGAAAUCAUUGAGAAAUGAUUGUCCCUAUAACGCCCUGUUGGUUGUUCCCCGACAGAGAGGAUGUGGUUUAUUUGAGGUUUCCCUGCUCCUUUUGUGUUCUCAUUUGCAUCUGCUAAACAUAAUGCAUCUUUUCCUUUGUCACCCUUGUGUUGAUUUGAGAUUUUCGCUGUAUGUAAUUAGAAACAAAUGUAAAACAUGAUUUAUGUGAAAUAUUGUAUAGUAAAAAAUUGGUCUAAUAGUAGAACUUUACAUUUUUUUCUUAUUGUGAGGAAUCUGUUAAAGUUUAAGGCUUUGCUGAAAACUUAAUUCAUUCUCAGGAAUUUCAUAAAUGCUUUCCGCGGGUAAAUAGUUGAACUAGCUGUAAGAUACAGUGCAGUGCAGUGCAGCGCACAGAGGGAGGGCAAGGCGUGUGUGUGGUUGGGGAGGUCCUUAGAAAUAAGUGUGUGUGGGCUGAGGGUGGAGCUCAGUGGUAGAAAGCUUACCUGGCUAACAUUUACAGAACCCCAGUUUCAUCUUAAGCACCGCACAUACACAAAAUCAAUUUGCCAUUUCAACUAAAUGAAAAUAAGAGUUGUUAGUGACGAGCAUAUGUUACAAUAAACUCAAAAGGGUUAAGAACAUAUACAUGGCAGAGUUUUGAUUCUGUGCAUGCCCACCUUUCCUUACCAACCAAGCCUUUAUUUAUGUGAUCAGAUUGAAAUGCUCAUCUGCCCAACACAUGGGCGUUAAGUUCUGGGACUCUCCUCAGUGACUGAAGAAGCUCCUGUCUGCUGGGCUCCUGCAGUGUCACUGAUGUUUCUGUGUGCUUCCUACAGCAGAAAAGGCCCAGAGGUACUGACCCUGGGAGUGAGCCGUGCUUCUGCUUUCAGACAUUGCAGUGAGGAUCAGCUUAUUGGUGGGUGGGUGGGGGGUUAAUUCAGAAUGGGAAUGAGUGAGCAAAAAUCCACUUAGUAAGAGGGAAAGAAGAUGACAGAAAAACAUAUUUUAUUGGUACCAAGACUUUUUUUUCCAGGUGAUUGAAUAAUUUGAUGAUUAUUUCAUAUAUAGUACUAUCAAGCAAUUCCUGGUACUUUGGAUUUCCAUGGCUUGCUAUAUAAAAUUACAUUUUUUUACUUGUAAAACUAAACAACAAAACAUUGAAUGAGAAAAUAUCAAAGUAACAUCAAACCCAUGUUCCAAAAUUUUUUGAAUUGAUGAUGGCGUUACAGACUAUGAAAUUAACAUAAAACAGUGGCUUUGCAUUAAAAUACGGGGAACAGAGUAGUACACACACAGAUGUGUUCAGAAUGCCAGAAGAUUGCCUGGAGCAUUUUAAGAAAAUAUGCCGGAAUAGCUUGCUAUUUUUAUAUACAUUUCCAAAAUGGUGAGAUAACUUUGUUAAGAGUAGAAUGACUUCUUCAGGUAAAUCCCUGCCCUUCUACACCUGCUCUCUAAAGUGCUGCGCUACAAGCUCAGCCUGCUACCUUUUUUGCUUCGGUCAUUAUAAAUAGCAGACCAUUUGUAAGUGUGGUUGAAGAGCAAAAUGCUAAUUACAUCUCUAGUAAAUACUGUUACAGGAUUCAUGAACUUGAGUAAUUUUACAGUUUGGAACUCUGAUGCUAUAUAUACAUGGUAUAAUGUAUUCAGACUUUGAUCACUACAUAUUUAAAUGGAAUGUUUAUGGUUGUGCAUAUGGAUGUGAAGUGAAAAUAUUAGCCUUAACUUUAAAAUUUGGAUAUUUGAUAGUGUUUAUUUUGAUAUUGGUGAAUUAGUCACCAGUAAAUUUUAAAAAAAGCACUUGGUUGAAAUUGUACUUGAAUAAAUACAUGCAUGCUGC
rnacentral:lncRNA from 1 species